UACGUAGGGUGCAGGCGUUAAUCGGAAUUACUGGGCGUAAAGCGUGCGCAGGCGGUUUGCUAAGACAGGUGUGAAAUCCCCGGGCUUAACCUGGGAACUGCGCUUGUAACUGGCAAGCUGGAGUGUGGCAGAGGGGGGUGGAAUUCCGACGUGUAGCGGUGAAAUGCGUAGAGAUGUGGAGGAACACCGAUGGCGAAGGCAGCCCCCCUGGGUCAACACUGACGCUCGAUGCACGAAAGCGUGGGGAGCAAACAGG
rnacentral:rRNA from 1 species